GGAGGAGUCCCGGCAGGGAUAAAGGUGCUCCUCACCUGCUGCAGCCUCACCCAGCGCUGCCCGGAGCCAGAGGAAGAUGAAGGUGGCUGUGCUCAGCGUGGCCCUGCUCUUCUCCAUCCUGCUGUGCCUCCCAGCACAGAGCAAGCCAUGGAUGGCAGUGGUGACACCAUAUGUGCUGGGCAAGUUGGUGGCAUUAGUGACGGCAAGUCAGGCGCUGUAGGAGCGAUAGGUGGAUGCAUUAUGGUAAGUCCUGGACCUGGGGCACCAGUGUGGGGACUGGGGGCCAGUCGGGUGCCCCCAUGCCUUGCUGGCACUGGGGACACCCCAGUGACCAGUGACAUCUCCCCAUCUCUCUACAGAAACCAAAAUUCCCUCCACCACCGAUGGCUGAGGUGGAGCUUCUGCAGGAGUGAUGCCCGGCUGCCCCUCUGGAUGCCCUGGCCUGGAACUGGUGGUGACACUUGCGUCCUGUCCCUCUCCAGCGGCAUGAGGAGAUGAUCAUCCCUGGAGAACCCCCCUAAUUCCUUGGGAGCCCUGGGAAUUUCCCUGGAAUAAUCAAUAAACCCCUUCAGCAAAGCA
rnacentral:lncRNA from 1 species